CUCUUUUGCAGAGACCAAGCCUCCCUCCCGGGCUGUCCGCGUUUUCCGUUUUCCUAUUUUAACGUUUGGGGAGAGUGGCAGGCGACAGAUGGUGGAGAUCAGAUCGAUGUGAUUGCAUUAGAUGACCCCCUCCCCUUCCCCACGCCGUUCUGGAAGCUCCAUCCGCGGAAGGCGAUCGCCGGGGACUCCACCGUGGACCCAGCCGCACGAGGACCAGGUCCCCUCCCAGGGCUUGUGAACGCCGGACCGGCGCGCUCCGGAGGCAAGCGGCUCCCAGCGCCCCGCCUGCCUCGCCACCCAGCUCAUCGCGGACCCUCCGGCUCCUGCACACCAUCCCGGUCCCGCUGGAAACCGGGAUGUAGAGGGGCUCCUCGCUGCCAGGACUCCCCAUCUAAGCACCUGAGUGGGCUGGCCGAGUCGGAGGGGUGCCCAGCAGAGCGAGGGCAGAGGAAGGCUCUGGGGGGGCAGCAGAAUUGGAAGGAGAGCAGCCAUUCGGCUGUGGGCAGGAAGCAGCCGCACAGAGCGCAGCUUUGGAUCCUUCUGGAGGGAAAUCGAGUUAUGGAUUAUGGUCCGGGUCAAGCUCAGCCCAGCCCAGCCCAGCCCAGCCAGGGGCGGGCUCAGCGGCAGCCAGAGUUGUGGCAGCAGCGGAGGCGGAGGCAGCGGCAGCGGCAGAGGCAGCGGCAGCGGCCCGGCUCUCUUCGGUGACGGGUAUUCUUGGGUGGAUAAUACGGAUUACGUUGUUAUUGCUUAAGAAUACGCGUAGUCGAGGAGAGUACCAGCGGCAGGCGGCAGCGGCCGCCCCUCCCGGCCCACCAGCGGGCCUCCGAACGCCGGUGGUUGCCAAGGAUGGAUUUCAUAACCUAAACAUAAAACGAGGCCCAGAAAGAUGAUGAGAACGUGGAGAGGAAGAAAUGCCAGAGCGCGUGCCUUGCCUUUUCCCUGGAUGUUGUGUUCGCAGCCCCGUCGUUAUUAGAGCUUUCGUUCGCACUCGGUGACGAAUCCCCACUCCUCUGUACACUUCUUUAUUACAGCAAGUAAAUGAUCAUAAACGUGUAAAAGUCCUUUUACUGGUCGACUAUAAUCUAGCCGAGAAUGAUGAACGGUAUGAGAUUUAGGACCGCCCGAAGUUUUACGCGAAAGAACGAACCCCUCGCCCAUAUUUGCUCUCAAUAAAGUGAAUGCUCUCAGUGACCAUGUUGCAUACGUGAAGCUCACACCUUAUGGUAGCUAGCACCAGCAUCUGAAGAGAAACGACAUGCAAGUCCCUGGAGAGGAAGAAGGCGAGUUCUUUCCCUGCCCAGGAACUCGGGUCUGAGUGUCAUGGCCUGGCUGCUCCCUCUGUCGGCUCCGGUGAAACUGCACAAGGACCGCCAUUGGAGGAGCGAAGGGAACGCUUUGACCUCGGAAAGAGCAAGAAAAUCAAGACGGCGCCGAGUGUUGCCAUGGAGCCACAGGAAUAACCCAUCAAACAGUAGAAGUACAUAUAGUGAAAAAUGUUGCUGGGCAUCCACUCCCUUCAAUUCAGCUGUUUAAUAAAAUUAUAGGAAUUCUAAUGAGUUUGAAAACUUCUUUGCUCUGGCUGUACUGACAUGCACGGGUCCUCCUCACAGGUACGCUUCCAAAAUUUACCUCUUACUGAUCAGAAAUAAAUUCAUACCAAUGUGCAAAAUGGCUUUAUUUUUUUAAAGCUCAGGACAUAAGAUUCUUUAGGAAAACAGAUUUUUCUCAUUUGUCAUUCUUCCCACCUAUGGUAACGGUAUUUUAAGCGUCUUAUUUAUUUUAGCAAAGGGUGAAAAUACUUAGUAUGAAAUCUGUUAGGUGCAGAAAGUACCCAAGUACAAUUUUCUCUCAUGUUGUGGAAAAUGCUGUCACUUACAAAAGUUCUAUUUUCCCAAUCAGACAUCAAGUGAUGGUCUCAUCAGCAUAAAAUAAUGUUGGAUUUCACGUGUUCUCCAGGCAUCCCCCUUACUCCCAUCUCAGACCCUUGGUAUUUAUUUCUCCCAUAAUUCCUCUGUCUUGUGUAAUUGAUCAGCCACGCAUACAAUACAAGGUAAGUACGAUCAUUAUCCCGUUUGCAGAUGAGAAUCCCCUGGUGUGGAGUAGUUGUAUAAUUCUUAAGAUGUGCACCCACUUUGUUUUAGUAAUUAGACUUCUGCCCAUCUCUCUACUUGCUCAAACAAGGAAUGCCAGCGUGUGGAAGAACUGAAGAGCAGAAGUGUGAAAAGGGAUGCUAUAAGGACUGUUGGUCCGCUGCACAUACAUGCCCACCGGACACACAGGGGAUGGGCCUCCUGGGCGUACUUCUUGCCAGGCCCGCAUCAGCGUGCCAAUAAAAAGGGAACGCUGGUGCAACAUCUACUGACAAGUGCUCCGAGUUAUGAACAAGGAACCUUCACUUUAUGUUUCCAUGCGAGUCCUCCAAGCCCUACAUGAUAUGCUCCUGUAUUUAAAUAAAAGACUGAUCACUGUUUUCAGCAAAUGGGAGAAAGGGUAGCUGUGAUACAAAGAGCUCACAGACAACGAGUAAACGACUAACCUCC